UAGGGAAUUUUCGUCAAUGGGCGGCAAGCCUGAACGAGCAAUGCCGCGUGAGUGAGGAAGGUCUUCGGAUCGUAAAGCUCUGUUGCGGGGGAAAAAGGAAGCAGAAAGGAAAUGGUCUGCUUUUGAUGGUACCCCGCCAGAAAGUCACGGCUAACUACGUGCC
rnacentral:rRNA from 1 species